rnacentral:rRNA from 1 species
AAGCAGUUAAGUUGAUUUCUUCGGAUUGAUUCUUAAUUGACUGACCUGUGGACGGGUGAGUAACGCGUGGGUGACCUGCCCCAUACCGGGGGAUAACAGCUGGAAACGGCUGCUAAUACCGCAUAAGCGCACAGAGCUGCAUGGCUCGGUGUGAAAAACUCCGGUGGUAUGGGAUGGGCCCGCGUCUGAUUAGGCAGUUGGCGGGGUAACGGCCCACCAAACCGACGAUCAGUAGCCGGCCUGAGAGGGCGACCGGCCACAUUGGGACUGAGACACGGCCCAAACUCCUACGGGAGGCAGCAGUGGGGAAUAUUGCACAAUGGGGGAAACCCUGAUGCAGCGACGCCGCGUGAGCGAAGAAGUAUUUCGGUAUGUAAAGCUCUAUCAGCAGGGAAGAUAAUGACGGUACCUGACUAAGAAGCCCCGGCUAACUACGUGCCAGCAGCCGCGGUAAUACGUAGGGGGCAAGCGUUAUCCGGAUUUACUGGGUGUAAAGGGAGCGUAGACGGCAAGGCAAGUCUGAUGUGAAAACCCAGGGCUUAACCUUGGGACUGCAUUGGAAACUGUCUGGCUCGAGUGCCGGAGAGGUAAGCGGAAUUCCUAGUGUAGCGGUGAAAUGCGUAGAUAUUAGGAAGAACACCAGUGGCGAAGGCGGCUUACUGGACGGUAACUGACGUUGAGGCUCGAAAGCGUGGGGAGCAAACAGGAUUAGAUACCCUG